rnacentral:lncRNA from 1 species
AUUGUUGGUGGAGCUCACAGUGUUAUUGUAUUAAAAAGAGCCAUCUGUGCCAGAAACAAUGGCUUCAAAUUAUCUCUGAAUACCCGGUGAAAAAAUAUAAAGCUUUCUCCUUCUCAUUAUGUUUGGUGGGGGUUUUUGUAGACUUGCUAUAAGUGACUUUUGUUGUUCUUGAUGCAUUCUUCUUCUUUUUCAAUCGGCCCCUUUUCAGAUGGCGUGGAGCUGCAGAGGGGCUGAGGCGGGUGAGAGCAGCCGCGCUGAGAGCACUCUGAGCGGGCACACGGAGCGACUGGACGCUAUGGAUCAUGAGAGCGGCUGCCGGAAAACUGCGCGGCCGGAAAAAGCGACUCCUCGCUGGGCGCGCAUGGGAGGAUCCGGCCGGCAGGCGCGGGGAACUUUUGGAUGUGUCAGUCAAAGUGAGUUGGAAACGAGGAGCGACACCACAGCGUUUAUGUUUUGCCUGUAAAUCUCUGCUCUGCUUGGGGACAUAAAACGGCCCAAAUGCAAUGAAGAACGCACGUCAAG